UUUCUUUAUUUGAAGGAAUGGUACAAAUCAAAGAACUUAAGUGGAUGUUUUGGUACAACUUAUAGAAAAGGUAAAGGAAACCCCAACAUGCAUGCACUGCCUUGGUGACCAGGGAAGUCACCCCACGGCUAUGGGGAAAUUAGCCCGAGGCUUAGCUUUCAUUAUCACUGUCUCCCAGGGUGUGCUUGUCAAAGAGAUAUUCCGCCAAGCCAGAUUCGGGCGCUCCCAUCUUGCGCAAGUUGGUCACGUGGUCACCCAAUUCUUUGAUGGCUUUCACCUGCUCAUUCAGGUAAUGUGUCUCAAUGAAUGACUGAUUCACAUUUUUUUCCAAAUGUAAUGCACACUCCAUUGCAUUCAGCCCGCUCUCCCAGUCAUCACAGUCUGGUUUCUGAAUGAGAAUAGGUUAAUGCAUCUCUACCAACUAACCUAGAAGUCAGCAAGCCCAUCAUCUCUAACCACCACGUUUUGGCAAAAGGGACAUUACUAUUUGCCUAAUUUAGUUUAGAUGGUAAGCCUAAAAAAGCACAAAAGGCAAAAGCCCAGUGUAUCAUCACUUUAUAAGGGCAAUUGCUAGUUUAAGUGAUUUCUGAUACCCGAACACUGCCAGAUGAUGAAGUAUGACACCCCUAGGAUCUUUUGUUCACCUUGAUAUCCUGAAGGAAGAUUCGGCCACCUCGUUGGUUCUGCAGCUUCAUCAGUUUCUCAGCAUGUUCCCUCUCCUCAUGAGAUUGGUGAAGAAAGUAUUUGGCAAAGUUCUUCAAAGCCACAUCAUCGCGGUCAAAGUAGUAAGA
rnacentral:lncRNA from 1 species